rnacentral:rRNA from 1 species
UCAUGGCUCAGGACGAACGCUGGCGGCGUGCCUAAUACAUGCAGUCGAGCGGACAGAAGGGAGCUUGCUCCCGGAUGUUAGCGGCGGACGGGUGAGUAACACGUGGGUAACCUGCCUGUAAGACUGGGAUAACUCCGGGAAACCGGAGCUAAUACCGGAUAGUUCCUUGAACCGCAUGGUUCAAGGAUGAAAGACGGUUUCGGCUGUCACUUACAGAUGGACCCGCGGCGCAUUAGCUAGUUGGUGAGGUAACGGCUCACCAAGGCGACGAUGCGUAGCCGACCUGAGAGGGUGAUCGGCCACACUGGGACUGAGACACGGCCCAGACUCCUACGGGAGGCAGCAGUAGGGAAUCUUCCGCAAUGGACGAAAGUCUGACGGAGCAACGCCGCGUGAGUGAUGAAGGUUUUCGGAUCGUAAAGCUCUGUUGUUAGGGAAGAACAAGUGCAAGAGUAACUGCUUGCACCUUGACGGUACCUAACCAGAAAGCCACGGCUAACUACGUGCCAGCAGACGCGGUAAUA